rnacentral:rRNA from 1 species
AUUGAACGCUGGCGGAAUGCUUUACACAUGCAAGUCGAGCGGCAGCGCGGGGGCAACCCUGGCGGCGAGCGGCGAACGGGUGAGUAAUACAUCGGAACGUGUCCUUAAGUGGGGGAUAGCUCGGCGAAAGCCGGAUUAAUACCGCAUAAGCUCUGAGGAGGAAAGCGGGGGCUCCGUAAGGACCUCGCGCUGUUGGAGCGGCCGAUGUCGGAUUAGCUAGUUGGUGGGGUAAAGGCCCACCAAGGCGACGAUCCGUAGCUGGUCUGAGAGGAUGAUCAGCCACACUGGAACUGAGACACGGUCCAGACUCCUACGGGAGGCAGCAGUGGGGAAUUUUGGACAAUGGGGGCAACCCUGAUCCAGCCAUUCCGCGUGAGUGAAGAAGGCCUCGGUUGU